UGGUUAUUACAAGGCUUUUAAGAUACAGUUUGUCAGUUGUCAUGACAUGACCUCAUAUAAAAUGUUUCAUUAGGUUUAUUUGCAGUUAGCUUGCUAGUAUUCAACCAAGGAGAAACAUCU